GUUAAACUAAGUGGUGAUAUACACAGUAGUGUGUGUAAUGUAAGGUAAUUACGUGUUAUGUGUAAUAUGUGGUGCAACGUAACCUGGUUGUCAAAGACCUAGUUCUGGGAUGAGAGACGGGAGAGAACUGCGUGCACCCCAAGGAAAGUAGCAAGCACUGACAAGCCAAAACAAAAGUCCGUCACCUUGAGAUCCACUCCCCCGAGGAGUCAGGGUAGGGAACAAAAGGGAGGGAAAAUACUCGCCUCCUGUCCUUAUUAAAAUUAAGAUUAUUAGUACACUAAAGCUAGCAUAAUCUUCA